rnacentral:rRNA from 1 species
AUUGAACGCUAGCGGGAUGCCUUACACAUGCAAGUCGAACGGAGUGGCGAACGGGUGAGUAAUGUAUAGGAACGUGCCCGGUAGCGGGGGAUAACUACGCGAAACCGGAGCUAAUACCGCAUACUAUUAGAGCAGCCUAUGUCGGAUUAGCUAGUUGGUGGGGUAACGGCCUACCAAGGCGACGAUCCGUAGCUGGUUUGAGAGGACGACCAGCCACAUUGGAACUGAGACACGGCCCAGACUCCUACGGGAGGCAGCAGUGGGGAAUUUUGGACAAUGGGGGAAAGCCUGAUCCAGCCAUGCCGCGUGUGCGAUGAAGGCCUUCGGGUUGUAAAGCACUUUUGGCAGGAAAGCGGUACCUGCAGAAUAAGCACCGGCUAACUACGUGCCAGCCGCCGCGGUAAUAC